rnacentral:rRNA from 1 species
AACGAACGCUGGCGGCAUGCCUAACACAUGCAAGUCGAACGAGACCUUCGGGUCUUGUGGCGCACGGGUGCGUAACGCGUGGGAACCUGCCCUUAGGUUCGGAAUAACUCCCCGAAAGGGGUCCUAAUACCGGAUAAUGUCUUCGGACCAAAGAUUUAUCGCUUUUGGCUGGGCCCGCGUUAGAUUAGCUGGUUGGUAGGGUAAAAGCCUAGCAAGGCGACGAUCCAUAGCUGGUCUGAGAGGAUGCUCUGCCACACUGGGGCUGAGACACGGCCCCGACUGCUACGGGGGGCAGCAGUGGGGUGUAUUAGACGAGGGGCGAAAGCCUGAUCCAGCAAUGCCGCGUGUGUGAUGAAGGCCUUAGUGUUGUAAAGCUCUUUUACCCGGGAUGAUAAUGACAGUACCGGGAGAAUAAGCUCCGGCUAACUCCGUG